CCAAUCUUUUAGCGGGCCUUGGGCUUUGUCCAUGGUCUCGCGAAAAUUCGUAUUUAAAACCCGCUCAUGUAAAUUUUUUAAAUAUAUCUGUUAUAUAUAUAUAAAUAAAGA
rnacentral:misc_RNA from 1 species